UUCCUCCGAUGAUGUUAGCACUGGGCUCGGAUUGCCAUGGCGAUGACUGUGCCCCCCCAUGUCCUUGACAUCAUGGGGGACUGAGGAGCAG